CGGAGCGUAGCGCAGCGCGGUAGCGCACGUGCCUUGGGUGCACGAGGUCGCUGGUUCGAGUCCAGCCGCUCCGA
rnacentral:tRNA from 1 species